rnacentral:rRNA from 1 species
UCUUGGUCAUUUAGAGGAAGUAAAAGUCGUAACAAGGUUUCCGUAGGUGAACCUGCGGAAGGAUCAUUAACGAUUUCGGUGUAAAAAACCGUUUUCUACCUAUGUCUACGCGUACCACUUGUUUCCUCGGGGGGCUUGCCCCCCGCUAGGACCCUUUAUCAAACCUUUUUGUAAUAGCAGUCAGCGUCUGAUACUAAGUUAAUUAUUAAAACUUUCAACAAUGGAUCUCUUGGUUCUGGCAUCGAUGAAGAACGCAGCGAAAUGCGAUAAGUAGUAUGAAUUGCAGAAUUCAGUGAAUCAUCGAAUCUUUGAACGCACAUUGCGCCCCUUGGUAUUCCAUGGGGCAUGCCUGUUCGAGCGUCAUUUGAACCCUCAAGCUCUGCUUGGUGUUGGGUGUUUGUCCCGCCAUUGCGCGUGGACUCGCCUUAAAGCAAUUGGCAGCCAUGUAAUCCGGCUUUGAGCGCAGCACAUUGCGUACUCUCUACUGGGACAUGGGCAUCCAGAAGCCUUAUUUUUUUACUCUUGACCUCGGAUCAGGUAGGGAUACCCGCUGAACUUAAGCAUAUCAAUAAGCGGAGGA